rnacentral:rRNA from 1 species
GACGGAGGGUGCUAGCGUUGUUCGGAAUCACUGGGCGUAAAGGGCGCGUAGGCGGCCUUGCAAGUCGGUUGGUGAAAGCCCGGGGCUCAACCCCGGAGGUGCGGCCGAGACUGCAGGGCUGGAGGCCGGAAGAGGAGGGUGGAAUACCCAGUGUAGAGGUGAAAUUCGUAGAUAUUGGGUGGAACACCGGUGGCGAAGGCGGCGCUCUGGGCCGGUACUGACGCUGAGGAGCGAAAGCGUGGGUAGCAAACAGG